GCGGGCGUAACUCAGUUGGUAGAGUAUCAGCUUCCCAAGCUGAAUGUCGCCAGUUCGAAUCUGGUCGCCCGCUCCA
rnacentral:tRNA from 1 species